GAGCAAGCCAUGAGGAGCAAGCCAGUAAGCAGCGUUCCUCUGUGGCCUCUGCUUCCGUUCCUGCCUCCAGGCUCCUG
rnacentral:miRNA from 1 species